UCGAGCGAGCGCUCACGCGGAAUUUUUCGGAAGGAAGCGGGAGUGACUUAGCGGCGGACGGGUGAGUAACGCGUGGGUAACCUGCCCCAUACCGGGGGAUAACGGUUAGAAAUGACCGCUAAUACCGCUUAAGCGCGCGAGGCCGCAUGGCCGCGCGCGAAAAACUCCGGUGGUAUGGGAUGGGCCCGCGUCUGAUUAGGUAGUUGGCGGGGUAAGGGCCCACCAAGCCGACGAUCAGUAGCCGACCUGAGAGGGUGGCCGGCCACAUUGGGACUGAGACACGGCCCAAACUCCUACGGGAGGCAGCAGUGGGGAAUAUUGCGCAAUGGGGGAAACCCUGACGCAGCAACGCCGCGUGAGUGAGGAAGUAUCUCGGUAUGUAAAGCUCUAUCAGCGGGGAAGAAAGAGGACGGUACCCGACUAAGAAGCCCCGGCUAACUACGUGCCAGCAGCCGCGGUAAUACGUAGGGGGCGAGCGUUAUCCGGAUUUACUGGGUGUAAAGGGAGCGUAGACGGCGUCGCAAGUCUGAAGUGAAUGCCCGUGGCUCAACCGCGGAACCGCUUUGGAAACUGCGAGGCUGGAGUGCUGGAGAGGUAAGCGGAAUUCCUGGUGUAGCGGUGAAAUGCGUAGAUAUCAGGAGGAACACCGGUGGCGAAGGCGGCUUACUGGACAGUGACUGACGUUGAGGCUCGAAAGCGUGGGGAGCGAACAGGAUUAGAUACCCUGGUAGUCCACGCGGUAAACGAUGAGUGCUAGGUGUCGGGGGGGCAAAGCCCCUCGGUGCCGCCGCUAACGCAAUAAGCACUCCACCUGGGGAGUACGUUCGCAAGAAUGAAACUCAAAGGAAUUGACGGGGACCCGCACAAGCGGUGGAGCAUGUGGUUUAAU
rnacentral:rRNA from 1 species